CUUGUCUACGGGAGGCAGCAGUGAGGAAUAUUGGUCAAUGGGCGGAAGCCUGAACCAGCCAAGUCGCGUGAGGGAAUAAGGCCCUACGGGUCGUAAACCUCUUUUGCCGGGGAGCAAGGGCGGGGACGUGUCCCGGCCCGGAGAGUACCCGGAGAAAAAGCAUCGGCUAACUCCGUGCCAGCAGCCGCGGUAAUACGGAGGAUGCGAGCGUUAUUCGGAUUUAUUGGGUUUAAAGGGUGCGUAGGCGGACUGGAAAGUCAGCGGUAAAAUCGAGAGGCUCAACCUCUUUCCGCCGUUGAAACUGU
rnacentral:rRNA from 1 species